UUGGAGGGCAAGUCUGGUGCCAGCAGCCGCGGUAAUUCCAGCUCCAAUAGCGUAUAUUAAAGUUGUUGCAGUUAAAAAGCUCGUAGUUGAAUUUCGGGAUCAAUUUGUUGGUCGUGCCUCGGUACGUACUGGCAUUAUUGGUUUCUACCUUCUGAAGAACCUUGAUGUCAUUAAUUUGGUGUCUUGGGGAAUCAGGACUGUUACUUUGAAAAAAUUAGAGUGUUUAAAGCAGGCAUACGCUUGAAUACAUUAGCAUGGAAUAAUGAAAUAGGACGUUUGAUUCUAUUUUGUUGGUUUCUAGGAUCGACGUAAUGAUUAAUAGGGAUAGUUGGGGGCAUUAGUAUUCAAUUGUCAGAGGUGAAAUUCUUGGAUUUAUUGAAGACUAACUACUGCGAAAGCAUUUGCCAAGGAUGUUUUCAUUAAUCAAGAACGAAAGUUAGGGGAUCGAAGACGAUCAGAUACCGUCGUAGUCUUAACCAUAAACUAUGCCGACUAGGGAUCGGAUGAUGUUAAUUUUUUAAUGACUCAUUCGGCGCCUUACGGGAAAC
rnacentral:rRNA from 3 species